CGGUCACGUUCGUUGCCUUCGAAGCAAAUGUAUAGUAAAUUACGCCGGACACAACCACGAAUGGGGUCACAUGCAGUAAUUAAUAUAAUACAAAAUGCUAUAAGUGAAACGCAAUUAAGCAGACAGAUCACUCCACGAACUAAGAACGGCCAUGCACCACCUAUCACAUAAUCAUGAAAGGACUAGCAUAUUUAGCACACAUUCACCCGAAGGGAAUGCGAUAAAACCUGUCAAUCCUCAGUGUGUCCGGACCCGGUAAGAUUUCCCGCGUUGGGUCAAAUUAAGCCACAUGCUCCAC
rnacentral:rRNA from 1 species